AGAGUUUGAUUCUGGCUCAGGAUGAACGCUAGCGACAGGCCUAACACAUGCAAGUCGAGGGGUAUGGGUUUCGGACCCGAGAGACCGGCGCACGGGUGCGUAACGCGUAUGUAACCUGCCUUACACCGGGGGGAUAGCCUUCCGAAAGGGAGAUUAAUACCGCAUAAUAUUAUAUAGCCUCCUGGCAUUAUAAUUAAAACUUCGGUGGUGUAAGAUGGACAUGCGUAUGAUUAGCUAGUUGGCGGGGUAACGGCCCACCAAGGCGACGAUCAUUAGGGGUUCUGAGAGGAAGGUCCCCCCACACUGGUACUGAGACACGGACCAGACUCCUACGGGAGGCAGCAGUGAGGAAUAUUGGUCAAUGGACGGAAGUCUGAACCAGCCAUGUCGCCGUGCAGGAUGACUGCCCUAUGGGUUGUAAACUGCUUUUGUAUGGGAAGAAAGUGGGGUACGUGUACCUCUUUGCCGGUACCAUACGAAUAAGGAUCGGCUAACUCCGUGCCAGCAGCGGC
rnacentral:rRNA from 1 species